CGCGUAGGCGGGCUGCGACGUCCGGGGUGAAAUCCUCCCGCUCAACGGGAGAACGGCCUCGGGUACGGGCGGCCUCGAGGGGGGUAGGGGCGUGCGGAACUGUGGGUGGAGCGGUGAAAUGCGUUGAUAUCCACAGGAACUCCGGUGGCGAAGGCGGCACGCUGGACCCCAUCUGACGCUGAGGCGCGAAAGCCAGGGGAGCGAACG
rnacentral:rRNA from 1 species